GAAGGUGGCAGACUGGCAGGCAC
rnacentral:siRNA from 1 species